rnacentral:rRNA from 1 species
UACGGAGGGUGCAAGCGUUAUCCGGAUUCACUGGGUUUAAAGGGUGCGUAGGCGGGCAGGUAAGUCAGUGGUGAAAUCUCCGAGCUUAACUCGGAAACUGCCAUUGAUACUAUUUGUCUUGAAUAUUGUGGAGGUAAGCGGAAUAUGUCAUGUAGCGGUGAAAUGCUUAGAUAUGACAUAGAACACCAAUUGCGAAGGCAGCUUACUACACAAUGAUCGACGCUGAGGCACGAAAGCGUGGGGAUCAAACAGG